AAUUCGCUGCGGCGAGAGCGCUCUCUGGUGCGUGCGGUGUCCCGUCCUGGCCGUGUCGAGGCGGCGCGUCGGCGUCGGCAGGGCAGGCCGACGCGUGGCGGAGGGAGGGAGUGACUCGUCUCGUGAAUCUGAUCUGGAGCGGCGGUGAGAUUUGAACGUUGUUGCGGGCGGCGUCUGCGUGGGAUCAGGAUGACGGGUGGCAUGUGGAUUGGAUGAAAUCAUGAAACCGUCUGGCAAGAGCCAAGAGGUCCCGCGCCCGAUGCCAGGUCAUGCCGGCUCUGGGAAUAAUUCAUCUCCGGAUCUCCCUGCCUGAGAUGCCCCAGCAAACGUACACAGGAACAGUUGACGAGUCGUAAACAGAGUGCAAGUUAACUAGUGCAAUGAAGAUUACUGGUGAGAGAAGACGUAUAAAAGUAUGCACAUUGUAGACGUCGGGGGUUAAUAGGAUGUACAUUGUACAAAAGAAUAUAUAUUUUUUGCCCCCAUUGAAUUCAAUAAGAGCGAUUCGCUAAUUUCCUCUCGCACCAGACUGCGCCCGGCCCAUCUGAAGAUUUGACCGAAAAUUUUGGCCACCGGAGUGGCAUCUAAACAUAGUCAAUCACGGAUAAAUGGGAGACCAUUACACUUCAAAAAC